UAAGGGAUAUUGGUCAAUGGGGGAAACCCUGAACCAGCAACGCCGCGUGAGGGAAGACGGUUUUCGGAUUGUAAACCUCUGUCCUCUGUGAAGAUGAUGACGGUAGCAGAGGAGGAAGCUCCGGCUAACUACGUGCCAGCAGCCGCGGUAAUACGUAGGGAGCGAGCGUUGUCCGGAUUUACUGGGUGUAAAGGGUGCGUAGGCGGCUAUGCAAGUCAGUAGUGAAAUCCAUGGGCUUAACCCAUGAACUGCUAUUGAAACUGCACAGCUUGAGUGAAGUAGAGGUAGGCGGAAUUCCCGGUG
rnacentral:rRNA from 1 species